UGGGGAAUAUUGCACAAUGGGCGCAAGCCUGAUGCAGCGAUGCCGCGUGAGGGAAGAAGGUUUUCGGAUUGUAAACCUCUGUCAUCAGGGACGAAAAAAGACGGUACCUGAGAAGGAAGCUCCGGCUAACUACGUGCCAGCAGCCGCGGUAAUACGUAGGGGGCGAGCGUUGUCCGGAAUGAUUGGGCGUAAAGGGCGCGUAGGCGGCCUGCUAAGUCUGGAGUGAAAGUCCUGCUUUCAAGGUGGGAAUUGCUUUGGAUACUGGUAGGCUGGAGUGCAGGAGAGGAAAGCGGAAUUACCGGUGUAGCGGUGAAAUGCGUAGAGAUCGGUAGGAACACCAGUGGCGAAGGCGGCUUUCUGGACUGUAACUGACGCUGAGGCGCGAAAGCGUGGGGAGCAAACAGGAUUAGAUACCCUGGUAGU
rnacentral:rRNA from 1 species